rnacentral:sRNA from 1 species
GAUCUACAACAGAGUAGGCCUAAUAUCAGUUAUAAUAGCACAGCAGAGUUAUAGCAGCAUGUAUUCCAGCAGCUAUAUUCAGCAGUUAAAAGCAGCAGUAACAAUAGCCUGCAAUACAUACGCAUAAAUUCAUAUAUUCUAUUAGGUCUCUCCACUCGCGCCUGCCUGACCUGCUCACAUAAAUCUAGACUUAAAGUGUAGAUUAUGAUUUCCAAAUGUGUAGAUCUCGACACAUGAUGGGAUGAGCUCUUGAACUGAAGCACUUGUCCUACUUCUAUUCAUCACUUCAAUUUCUUUAGUUUUCAGCAGUUAGAAGUACCAGCUACUGAAACUGACACCAAUAUAAGUGGUUUAAAAGCAAGAACUAAUUACACAAUCACAGUUUCA